rnacentral:misc_RNA from 1 species
CCGAGUUUACAACUCCCAAACCCCUGUGAACAUACCUUAACGUUGCUUCGGCGGAUCAGCCCGCGCCCCGUAAAACGGGACGGCCCGCCGCAGGACCCAUAAAACCCUGAAUUUUAUUGUAACUUCUGAGUUUAAAAAAACAAAUAAAUCA